ensembl:lncRNA
GUUGUGUACAUACACCCCUGCACGCGACAGGCGCGUGACCGCUUCUUUCUUCCUCCCGACGCGCCGGGUUCAUGCGGGACGGACCGGUGCUGCUCAUGGCGGACACGGGAUUGUAAAAACAAAAGGAAACACGUUCAGAGUAAAAUAACGCGGUUCGUGUUGUAGGGUCGAAUAUAUCUUUAAUUAUGGUCUUGAGAUCGCAUGAAGUCGCAUUCAAUUUGCUAAUUUGUUCCUCGAUUCAACCUAAUCCAAAUAAUUUAAUGUGGAGCGCAAGAAUUUAACCCUGAAUCUAACUGACGUGGACCGUUUGAGGAGGAAACGUAGCCGUUUCUGAACUGGUCGGGUAUUUAGUUCACCGAUUAAAGGCUACGUUUUAAACCGUUUCGGUAAUUCAUGGUGCGGGAAAGGAGCGCGUCUGGCGGCUGUAAUCUCGCGCUAUUGGUGCGAGGCUGCGGGAUCACAUUCACAAGCUGACCGCGAGCCCAACGGACAGUCCGGCGCGCGGAUUCUGCUCGUUUGUUCCCCAACUUCUCUCCUGAACCCAAACUAACGGUUCGCCGAACGUGGAUUGGUUCACUCUGCUUGAGAAGUUUUCACAUUGUUUGACUCGGCGAUGGAAGAUAGCGGAGCUUUAAAAUGUCCGCCGCGUCCGUAACGUCAAACUAUUUAGUCUCUAAACAAAAUGUCCGGUGUAGAGGGGCCCCGGAGGUCCCUAAAGAAACGGAGGGGCCCGAUCACAUUCCGAUCUCCCAGCGUUCGGCCCCAUUGAUCAGCUGAGACUGACAGUCCGGUCGCCAUGGUAGCCGCCUCGGCGGCGCCGCGAGGACUGGCUCGCGGGCUGUGUGAAUAGGGUGACGUCACGGGGCCGGCGCCAGAGAGUCUGCGAGGGGGAGAGAGAGGGAGAGAGACGGAGGCAGAUAGAGAGGGGAGCCGGGAUCGGAGCGCUCUGCUCGGGUCUGAACCGGCCUCGUCUCGUAGCGGUCCAUCACCUGUCGCACGUCACCCGAGAUGUACACAGCUGCGCGAGCGGCAGAAAAGGGAGAGAAAAUGGAAAAACCCGUCCGCGCCAGAUGUGGACACGACUGCAAGAACUCACUUGUGAAAAAACGAUCCCAAAAGAACCGAAGAACCAGAGUCUGCAGAAGUGACUGUUCACCGCGAUCGGCGUGGAUCUGCAGUGAACACUGCGUUAUGUUUGACAAUAGACCUCUUUCUGCUCAUGCCAAUGUAAAGCAUAUAUGAUAUAUUACAAUAUAAAUGACAAAACUGAGUUCUACUGUAUUUUACACAAAGCAUCACAAGAUCACCCAGUUCACCGUCCCUUUACAGUAAACAAUGAGGCUGGAUUCAGGAUUCAGGCGAGUGUUCUGCAAACACAUUCAAAUUCAGGUUAUGAAUGACGCGUCUUAGGUCAUAUCUUCAGUUUAUGAGUGGCAGUUCAUAUCUUCAGGUUAUCUGACCUGUUCCGCUCUUCUUUAU